CCCUUAGAUGUUCUGGGCCGCACGCGCGCUACACUGACGAAUGCAACGAGCUUAUAACCUUGGCCGAAAGGUCUGGGUAAUCUCCAAAUUUCGUCGUGAUGGGGAUAGAUUAUUGCAAUUAUUAAUCUUCAACGAGGAAUGCCUAGUAAGCGCAAGUCACCAGCUUGCGUUGAUUACGUCCCUGCCCUUUGUACACACCGCCCGUCGCUCCUACCGAUUGAAUGGUCCGGUGAAGCGCUCGGACCGCGGCCUCUUGACGGUUCGCUGUCGAUUGGCUGUGGGAAGUUCGUUAAACCUUAUCAUUUAGAGGAAGGAGAAGUCGUAACA
rnacentral:rRNA from 1 species